UAAGUACUUCCUCCGUCCCAAAAUUCUUGUCUUUGAUUUAUCUAGAUAUGAAUUUAUCUAGUCAUGUAUUAGUUUUUAGAUACAUUCAAUUUUACACAAACCUAAGACAUGAAUUUUGGGAUUGAGGGAGUAUGUC
rfam:Hordeum vulgare subsp. vulgare, WGS project CAJW01000000 data, contig: morex_contig_292648